GGAGGCAAUGAUCGCGUUGGUGCCCCCGAAAGGGAGCUUAAAAGGGAACGCGGUGAGAGGGGCCUGCCCCUCGAAUCCGAGGCUGUCCCUGCAACUGUAAGCGGCGAGUGCGAUGCACAUUCGCGGCGGGCCAACAGGCUCUGCCGCAGCCACUGGGCCGGACGCAAAUUUCUGCGGGGCCUGGGAAGGCCGUGCAUCGCGCGAUGACCCGCAAGCCAGGAGACCUGCCAGCGUCCGGUCGCUCUU
rnacentral:ncRNA from 2 species